AGACCACUGGAAAACACAGAUACAUUACGACUCACAACAGCAGCGAAGUUACAGUUAAGAAGUAGCAAUGAAAACGGCUUUAUGGUUGGGGUCUCACCGCGGCAGGAGGAACAGUAUUAAAGGGUCGCACGCAGCCUUAGGAAGGUUGAGAAGCACUGCUUUAUUCACACACUUACGUUCAUGGUGGUUAUUUCAAAGACACAUCUGUAUGAAAUGAAGAAGGCCAUAUGGGGAGCAAGGGGUAUCUUCAUAUACAACACUAGCCAGCUACCAACCUCUGUCCACAUGUUGCUUAAGGGUUUACGUUAUUCCUGCUAACAGCGUUCAGGGUAAUUUUCCACACCACAGGCUGGAAAUCCAAGCUAAGCGAGGUGAGCCGCUUUGCAUGGCAUUGUCCAGAGAGUCAGUGGCGAGACAAGAUUUGAACCAGGCCUCCUUGUCCGGAAACCACUCUCCACUAUCCUGAGUCUCAGACCGGCCUCACAGCUCGCACCACAGAUGCAGAACCUCAGAAACCAUGACACAGUAGAGGGCACACCCUUGUCGAAAACCUUACAGAGCCACGGAAUCAGAAGCAAAAGGCGUAAGAUGGCAUCUUUGUCUUCCCCUUGCUUCCCGAUUUCAGAGAGCAAGCCUUUCCUUCACCUUCUACACACUUACCUCCUGUAAUGACUCAAGCUUAACAUUUCCUGGUCAAGAUGCAAGAUUCGUGGUCAGCUAUCUAAGCAGAGGCACUGAGUGGUGGAUGGCGGGCGUAUACGUGGCCCACAUGAGUCCAGAAGGUGUUUUAUGUUAUAAUCAAACUUCUACAGAGGAGUGUGAUCUCCAGGUAAGGCGCAGGCACCGUUGGGUUGACUUUUGACAGGGUUCCAAUUCCAGUAAGGAGAAAACAGCCCCUGGAAUAUCCAACCCAGUAUUCUGCCCCUGACAGUUGCUCUGAGGGGUGCUGCUCAAACAGGAUGACUGACCCCAUGUUACUGUGGGACCUGUCUUCCAGGAGUUGUGUGAUGGCUGGCUGCAUUUACAAUCACUUCAGGCCCAAGGGCCCAUGUCCCUCUCUUAAACUACAUCGAUGAGAAAGAAAGAAUAGGAGAGUGAUUGGCUGAGUGUACACCUGUGUAGUUUAGCUUCAGGUCAGAGGGUGUGGCAUCUCGAGGAAGUUUCCUCUCCCCUCUGGACAACAGAACUCCAGCUCUGGCUGAGUGCUGAGUGAGAAAAAUGUUCCAGAGAGGAUGAAGAUGGCCUUGGACCAGAAAGGCAGUGUCUGCUCUGUGAGAACGGGGCUGUUACUUCAAGAGGGGACUAUUAUCUCCAGAUGAAGAAAGCUGUCUGGCUGAAAGGUAAUGAAUUAAUUGGUCUUGAAGAGUGGAUUAAAACAAGGAAUAUUCGGAAGCCAGGGGAAAGUGUCUUUGGGUGAUGAACACAGAAAACGGAGGUUAGAAAAGGCAGGGAGGGAAUCCGGAAGCAGGGAAGACUGCCUGGGCAGGAGAACUCAGGGCUGGACUCCUGAGGCAUGGAAUAGCUAGCAUCCAGACUUGAUUUACAGAAGGCCGUAACAUGGACGUGAGGGAUUGGUGAGCAGGCACUGUGUUUGGACUGUGUCAGGACAGACAGCACGGCCCCAACUGGGGGUCUCGGAGGCAUCAUGCUAAGUAGUCUACAGCUAAACGCACACUAGGCUUUCUCGAACAUGCAGUGACCUUCAGGACAUGGCACCAGAAGCUACUCAGACUCUAGAAAUCCAUGAAUCGUUCCUGGGCCUCGCCAUCCCUGCCAGCAUGUGAACACUACGCUCAGUUUUGAAGAAACCAUCAUUGUAUGGAUACUGAAGGGAGCGAGGCUACCUCCUUCAUUCUCUAUUCUUUGGCUUCAAAACAAUGGUCUAAAGUUCCCACAAUUUGCCCUCAUCUACGGCCAUACCAUGCUAGAUCUCAGAAGCUAAGUUCCCAUAAUUGGUCAUCUCCGAGUCUCCAGGAUGUCCUCAUCUUCCCAGAAGACAAGAUGGCUUCUAGGCCGGCAAAAGUAAAGCGAAGCAUCUGAAAGACUCAUGACCGACUUAAGUAUGUUUAAAGAACAGGCAAAAGUCAAAUGUGUCCUCAAAGGAUUACAAUUAUCCCUAUACAUUUAAUUGGAGUAAUUCUGAAUUCAUAUCCAGAAAUACCGUACGAGCGAACUUUUACAUCUCACACAUCCUUCCAAUACAAACUAUUUUUUGUAACAACUCCCUUCACUGUUUUUAUCUUUCUACAUUCUGGGGUUACAGGGAUAUUCAUUUUUCUUAUUUUCCCCUCAUUGUUGACCAUGUUUUUACUUUCUGUACGUCUUUCAGCCAUCCUAUUGGAUUAUCUGCUCCUUAAAUGAUUAAUUUCUCAGGGCCCUCCUUCCUUCUCUGCUCCUUAUUCAUGAAUUCAGUGCAGUCUUCCCAUGUCUUGGAGGAUUUAGCUCCACGCUCUUUGAAGAUUUCUUCUGCUCUCUGCAUU
rnacentral:sRNA from 1 species